AGGUGGCAUUUUUCAACUCCGCUGGAGCCAGUGCCCAGGAGGAACAAAGGGUGUGCUGCCAGCCCCUGGCUCACCCAGUGGCCUCGUCCCAGAAGAAGCCAGAGGUAGCGGCCCCAGCCCCAGAGAGUGGGGGUGAGUCUGUGUUUGGGGAGACCCACCGGGCCCUGCAGGGGGCCAUGGAGAAGCUGCAGGUGAGUAGGUCCUGGCAUGGGCCAACAAGGGGGGCGGUGGGGCAGGACAAGGCAGGUGACUCCUGACAUGUGACCCCAUUAUUUUGGCUCCACAGCGACUUUAUGGAAGGAGAAGGUGGACCUGAAGGAGCGGGUAGAGAAACUAGAGCUUCAAUUCAUCCACCUCUCAGGACAGACAGACACCAUAGAAAGUACAUCAGCCAGGGGGCAGUGUCAGAGACGCAGCACUG
rnacentral:lncRNA from 1 species